GGCCAGCCUGCAGCCAACAGCACCGCCAAAUCGCCUACAGAGAAGAGGAAAGAACAAGGGUGUUUACGUGAUACUGAUUCACAAUGCAGAACAUCUACAGGAAUAACUAGAAGCUUGUUGACUUUGUGGUUGUGGAGUCUGUUGUACCUAAUUCAUGAGGAAGCUCAUGGCAGAAAACAGCGAUUGCUGUGCUAAGUCCACCCGUCAGACUCUGAGAAAAUGCAACACCUAGAGGCUGCCCAUGAGAAUGCCCGUGCCCAGACUCUGAAUUCUCAUUCUGAUUGGGUGAUGAGGAACCUAAGACAGAGUCCAGAUCAAAUGAGCUGUUUCAUA